GCAGUCGGGUCCCCUCCCCCCGGAAGGUUCGCGAAAAGGAAGCCGCCACCGCCGCCUGAAAGGAGCCGCCGGUGCCGGUCCCCGGGGGCGCCAUGGCGACCGGAGCGAACGCCACGCCGCUGGACUUCCCAAGUAAGAAGCGGAAGAGGAGCCGCUGGAACCAGGAUACAAUGGAACAGAAGACGGUGAUUCCGGGAAUGCCUACGGUCAUCCCCCCCGGACUGACGCGGGAGCAAGAGAGAGCGUAUAUAGUGCAACUGCAGAUAGAAGACCUGACUCGUAAACUGCGCACAGGAGACCUGGGCAUCCCCCCUAACCCUGAGGACAGGUCCCCUUCCCCUGAGCCCAUCUACAAUAGCGAGGGGAAGCGGCUUAACACCCACGAGUUCCGCACAUGCAAAAAGCUUGAAGAGGAGCGGCAUAACCUCAUCACGGAGAUGGUUGCCCUCAACCCUGAUUUCAAGCCACCUGCAGAUUACAAACCUCCAGCAACACGCGUGAGCGAUAAAGUAAUGAUUCCACAAGACGAGUAUCCAGAAAUCAACUUUGUGGGUCUGCUGAUUGGGCCCAGAGGGAACACCUUGAAGAACAUAGAGAAGGAAUGUAAUGCCAAGAUUAUGAUCCGGGGGAAAGGGUCUGUUAAAGAAGGGAAAGUUGGCCGCAAAGAUGGCCAGAUGCUCCCUGGAGAAGAUGAGCCACUUCAUGCCCUAGUUACUGCCAACACCAUGGAGAAUGUGAAGAAAGCUGUGGAACAGAUAAGAAACAUCCUGAAGCAGGGUAUUGAGACCCCUGAGGACCAGAAUGAUCUACGGAAGAUGCAGCUUCGGGAGUUGGCUCGCUUGAAUGGGACCCUUCGGGAAGAUGACAACAGGAUCUUAAAGACCCUGGCAGAGCUCAGAGACACGCAGCAUUACCAAUACCACAGUGUGUACCAAGUGUGGUGGGGCUGGACACAUCGCUUCCGAUUGCAAAUUCCAAAGGCCUGGUGACCCCCAGUCAGCUCAGGAUAAAGCACGGAUGGAUAAAGAAUAUUUGUCUCUUAUGGCUGAACUGGGCGAAGCACCGGUGCCGGCAUCUGUGGGCUCUACCUCUGGGCCCGCCACCACGCCCCUGGCCAGUGCACCUCGACCUGCUGCUCCCGCCAACAACCCACCUCCACCGUCUCUCAUGUCUACCACCCAGAGCCACCCACCCUGGAUGAAUUCUGGCCCUUCAGAGAGUCGGCCCUACCAUGGCAUGCACGGAGGUGGUCCUGGUGGGCCUGGAGGUGGCCCCCACAACUUCCCACACCCAUUACCCAGCCUGACAGGUGGGCAUGGUGGACAUCCCAUGCAGCACAACCCUAACGGACCCCCACCCCCUUGGAUGCAGCCGCCACCACCACCGAUGAACCAGGGCCCCCACCCACCUGGGCAUCAUGGCCCUCCUCCAAUGGAUCAGUACCUGGGAAGUACGCCUGUGGGCUCUGGGGUCUAUCGCCUGCGUCAAGGAAAAGGUAUGAUGCCGCCGCCGCCUAUGGGCAUGAUGCCGCCGCCGCUGCCGCCGCCCAGUGGGCAGCCCCCGCCCCCUCCCUCUGGCCCUCUUCCCCCAUGGCAGCAGCAGCAGCAGCAGCCUCCGCCACCCCCUCCGCCCAGCAGCAGUAUGGCUUCCAGUACCCCCUUGCCAUGGCAGCAAAAUACGACGACUACCACCACGAGCGCUGGCACAGGGUCCAUCCCGCCAUGGCAACAGCAGCAGGCGGCUGCCGCAGCUUCUCCAGGAGCCCCUCAGAUGCAAGGCAACCCCACUAUGGUGCCCCUGCCCCCCGGGGUCCAGCCGCCUCUGCCGCCCGGGGCCCCUCCCCCUCCGCCGCCUCCGCCGCCUGGUUCCGCCGGCAUGAUGUAUGCCCCGCCCCCUCCUCCUCCGCCUCCCAUGGACCCUUCUAACUUUGUCACCAUGAUGGGCAUGGGGGUGGCGGGCAUGCCGCCCUUCGGGAUGCCUCCAGCUCCCCCACCGCCUCCACCACAGAACUAGACUCGGUUUUUUUUAAGAAAAUAUAUAUUAUAGAGAGAGAAAA